UACGUAGGUGGCGAGCGUUGUCCGGAUUUACUGGGCGUAAAGAGCGCGCAGGCGGUCGAUCAAGUCGGAUGUGAAAGCCCCCGGCUCAACUGGGGAGGGUCAUUCGAUACUGAUCGACUCGAAGGCAGGAGAGGGAAGCGGAAUUCCCGGUGUAGUGGUGAAAUGCGUAGAUAUCGGGAGGAACACCAGUGGCGAAGGCGAGUCUCUGGACGACAUCUGACACUGAGGCACGAAAGCUAGGGGAGCAAACAGG
rnacentral:rRNA from 1 species